rnacentral:rRNA from 1 species
UACAGAGGUCUCGAGCGUUAGGCGGAAUCACUGGGCUUAAAGCGUGUGUAGGCGGAUUGGUAAGUACUUUGUGAAAUCCCACGGCUUAACCGUGGAACUGCUUGGUAUACUGCCAGUCUUGAGCCAGCUAGGGGCUACCGGAACAAAUGGUGGAGCGGUGAAAUGCGUAGAUAUCAUUUGGAACGCCAAUGGUGAAAACAGGUAGCUGGGGCUGUGCUGACGCUGGAGACACGAAAGCCAGGGGAGCAAACAGG